rnacentral:rRNA from 1 species
GAUGAACGCUAGCUACAGGCUUAACACAUGCAAGUCGAGGGGCAGCAUGAACAAAGCUUGCUUUGUUUGAUGGCGACCGGAGCACAGGUGAGUAACACGUAUCCAACCUGCCCAUAACUCAGGGAUAGCCUUUCGAAAGAAAGAUUAAUACUUGAUAGUAUAUUUUAGCCGCAUGGUUUUAAUAUUAAAGAUUUAUUGGUUAUGGAUGGGGAUGCGUUCCAUUAGGUAGUAGGUGAGGUAACGGCUCACCUAGGCAUCGAUGGAUAGGGGUUCUGAGAGGAAGGUCCCCCACAUUGGAACUGAGACACGGUCCAAACUCCUACGGGAGGCAGCAGUGAGGAAUAUUGGUCAAUGGCCGGAAGGCUGAACCAGCCAAGUAGCGUGAAGGAUGACUGCCCUAUGGGUUGUAAACUUCUUUUAUAUGGGAAUAAAAGACAUUACGUGUAGUGUUUUGUAUGUACCUUAUGAAUAAGCAUCGGCUAAUUCCGUGCCAGCCGCCGCCGUAACAC